rnacentral:RNase_P_RNA from 1 species
CCAGUUGGCCGGGCAGCCGCGCUUUACCAAUGCCGAAAGGCGGUAGGGUGAGGAAAGUCCGGGCUCCACGGAAACACGGUGCCGGAUAACGUCCGGCGAGGGCGACCUCAGGGAAAGUGCCACAGAAAGCAAACCGCCUGCACGGCAGGUAAGGGUGAAAGGGUGGGGUAAGAGCCCACCGCAUUUCCGGUAACGGCGAUGGCAAGGUAAACCCCACCGGGAGCAAGACCGAAUAGGGAUGACGUGGGAGGCGAAAGCCUUUCGGCCGGUUUCCAGGUCAGUCAUCCGGGUGGGUUGCGUGAGGCAGCGUGCGAACGUUGUCCCAGAGGAAUGGCUGCCACGUUCCGGCUUCGGCCGGGGCCAUACAGAACCCGGCUUACAGGCCAACUGGCGAA